GAUAGGGACGAAGGGCGAAGGGUUAAUAGCCCCUAGCCUGACGGUACCUUUCGAGGAAGCCCCGGCUAACUACGUGCCAGCAGCCGCGGUAAUACGUAGGGGGCGAGCGUUGUCCGGAAUUAUUGGGCGUAAAGAGCGUGUAGGCUGUUCGGUAAGUCUGCCGUGAAAACCUGAGGCUCAACCUCGGGCGUGCGGUGGAUACUGCCGGGCUAGAGGACGGUAGAGGCGAGUGGAAUUCCCGGUGUAGCGGUGAAAUGCGCAGAUAUCGGGAGGAACACCAGUAGCGAAGGCGGCUCGCUGGGCCGUUCCUGACGCUGAGACGCGAAAGCUAGGGGAGCGAACAGGAUUAGAUACCCUGGUAGUCCUAGCCGUAAACGAUGGACACUAGGUGUGGGGGGAGUCGAAUCCCUCUGUGCCGCAGUUAACGCGUUAAGUGUCCCGCCUGGGGAGUACGGCCGCAAGGCUAAAACUCAAAAGAAUUGACGGGGGCCCGCACAAGCAGCGGAGCAUGUUCUUUAAUUCGAUGCAACGCGAAGAACCUUACCUGGGCUUGACAUGGUGCUGCAAGCGCACGGAAACGUGUGACCUUCGAGGGUGCACCACAGAUGCUGCAUGGCUGU
rnacentral:rRNA from 1 species